rnacentral:rRNA from 1 species
UACGAAGGGGGCGAGCGUUGUUCGGAAUCACUGGGCGUAAAGGGCGCGUAGGCGGCCCCUCUUAGUCGCGUGUGAAAGCCCCCGGGCUCAACCUGGGAACGGCGCGCGAAACGGGAGGGCUGGAGUUCGGGAGAGGAGAGUGGAAUUCCCAGUGUAGAGGUGAAAUUCGUAGAUAUUGGGAAGAACACCGGUGGCGAAGGCGGCUCUCUGGACCGAGACUGACGCUGAGG